UACGUAGGGGGCAAGCGUUGUCCGGAUUUAUUGGGCGUAAAGGGCGCGUAGGCGGCCAACUAAGUCACACGUGAAAUCCCCAGGCUUAACCUGGGAACUGCGUGUGAUACUGGAUGGCUUGAAUUCGGGAGAGGGAUGCAGAAUUCCAGGUGUAGCGGUGAAAUGCGUAGAUAUCUGGAGGAAUACCGGUGGCGAAGGCGGCAUCCUGGACCGACAUUGACGCUGAGGCGCGAAAGCUAGGGGAGCAAACGGG
rnacentral:rRNA from 1 species